rnacentral:rRNA from 1 species
GACGAACGCUGGCGGCGUGCCUAAUACAUGCAAGUCGAGCGAAGCGGGGACGGGUGAGUAACACGUAAGGAACCUCCUAUAAGACUGGGAUAACAUCGGGAAACCGGUGCUAAACCGCAUACUUAUAGAUGGCUUUGCGGUGCAUUAGCUCGUUGGUGGGGUAACGGCUUACCAAGGCAACGAUGCAUAGCCGACCUGAGAGGGGAAACGGCCAAAUUGGGACUGGGACACGGCCCAAACUCCUACGGGGGGCAGCAGUGGGGAAUUUUCCGGAAUGGGCGGAAGCCUGAAGGGGCAAAGCCGCGGGGGGGAAGAAGGUUUUCGGUUCGGAAAGCUUUGUUGAUAGGGAAACGGUAACCUAACAGGAAGCCACGGCUAAAUACGUGCCAGCAGCCGCGGUAAUUC